AGUGAACGCUGGCGGUAGGCCUAACACAUGCAAGUCGAACGGCAGCACAGUAAGAGCUUGCUCUUACGGGUGGCGAGUGGCGGACGGGUGAGGAAUACAUCGGAAUCUACUUUUUCGUGGGGGAUAACGUAGGGAAACUUACGCUCAUACCGCAUACGACCUACGGGUGAAAGCAGGGGAUCUUCGGACCUUGCGCGAUUGAAUGCGCCGAUGUCGGAUUAGCUGGUUGGCGGGGUAAAUGCCCACCAAGGCGACGAUCCGUAGCUGGUCUGAGAGGAUGAUCAGCCACACUGGAGCUGAGACACGGUCCAGACUCCUACGGGAGGCAGCAGUGGGGAAUAUUGGACAAUGGGCGCAAGCCUGAUCCAGCCAUACCGCGUGGGUGAAGAAGGCCUUCGGGUUGUAAAGCCCUUUUGUUGGGAAAGAAAAGCAGCAGGUUAAUACCCCGCUGUUCUGACGGUACCCAAAGAAUAAGCACCGGCUAACUUCGUG
rnacentral:rRNA from 1 species